ensembl:lncRNA
GGAAAAUGGGUUUGGUAAGGCUAAAUGCUAAAGCUGAAGCAGAUAUGAAAAGGCAGUACAUUGAAGAGCUUGGGAUUAGUUUUAAGGUGGAGGGUCUGUGUGCUGCAGGUGAACUCACAGAGCAGCCAGCUCCAAAUGUGCUGCUGCUGGUAUGGAUAGCGGUGUUACUGACUGAAGUGUUUGUUUAAAUAUUUCUGUAUUUGCACAGCUUUGGGGUGGUUUUAUAACCCAUGGUGGGCUCAGUGAUGAUGCAGCAUAGGUAUACCUGGCUUUCUUGCAUCUGCUUGGGAAAAGUAGCAUUUUAACCACAAGAAGAAUUCUCAGCCUGAGAAACUGUGACUGUGGGCAGGGUUUCUCAGAUCUUGUUAAUUGCUUGCUAUUAUGGCGAAAGCAUUUUGUUUCCUUAAAACUGUAGAAGAGAUGUUGGCAUUUUUAAAUCAGAAUUAAUUCUGAGCAGUGUACAUUUUGGAAGGAAAGGUUGGGCUCUGGAGAGACUGGGAGUCUUUUAGUUUGUACUUUAUAUGGAGAAACAUUAGGUUGGGGGGUGGCAGAACACAGGUGGACUCUCUCUUUUAUUUCAUACAGUUCAUCCCCUUAUGUGUGAUGGCAGUUGAGUUUUGAAAGCAGCAUUAUGUUGUGUAUUUUCUACAUGCAGGAUGAGUAUGCGUAAGUGGAUGAGACAUCUUGUUGACUGGGCUUGCAUAUAACAAAAAAGCUCCCUAAGCUGGUGCUACCAUUGGUGUUAAGGGGGAGGAAAUCAGCAGAGGUGGGAGCAGCUCAGCAGAGUGGGGAUGGUGACUCCAACCUCCUCCUUUUUAUGCCAGUCCCCAUCAAACAUACAGCUAAGAAACAGCUUGUUGGAGCCAAAUUUGUUCUAAGCUGUCAGCAUCAAUCACGAGCAGAUCGUUUUGUCAGAGCACGCAGCAGGAUGCGUGUUGGACGUCAAUCAGAAGUGACACAUUGCAGAAAUGGUGGAGGGACAGUGCAGGAACGUCCUCAUAGCCGCUUGUAAGGAGAUUCUUUCAGAUGUGGAGCAACAAUACACAUUGGAAUGGUAAAUUGACAUUGUCUUGACAUUCCAGGCCAGAACCACCAGCACCAGAUUGUCCCCUGAGUAUAAAUAAGGUUUCCUACAGAGUGAGAGGAGCUCCACGAAGAGAUACUGACAGAGAUCAGCCACAGAAUUGCUGACAGCCUCGAGUUUGUAUUUGAUGGUGGAUUAUGAAGUUCAAAUUUCCAGUUGGACACUGGAAAAGCACUGCUCAGAUAUAUGCCUCCACUUGCUUCUGCUUUUCAUCACCAACUACACAUGUAUUAGGAUUUUGAUGAGAAUCCUAUGAUUCUCAUAUGAGAACAUAUUUCUGAAACUUAAAAUUUUAGAGUUCUGGUGAGAAAGGUUUCCCUUUUAUUUUUAUGAAGAUCAAGGGCACUUUGUCUUGCAAAAGUAAUUUAGAGUUGGUCCUGAUUUAAGAAAGAGUGAAGCACAGGAAAAGUGGCAACGUGUUGGCCUAUCUCUAGAGAACGCUUCCUGGCAUUCCAGUGCUUCUGAAAUUAAAAUACAGGUGGGAACUUUAAGUUCAUUUUCUGAUUGCAUUUAUGAGGUUGAGAGAAAGUACAGUUGGGGUCAGUUUCAACAGUUUGUGGUGACAUUAUGAUCUUAAGUUUUCUGAACAAAUUCCCCAUGACAAAGUUCUCGUAGAAAUGUUUGAUGCAGCUCCUCUUCCUCUUGGCACAUCUUACUAUUUCUUUUUCUUUUUUCCACAUGGUUGAGGCAUGAAGAUGCAUUUUAUCUUAAAAAGCUUAAUUUUACAGGAGUGACCAAAUAAUUUGAAUUUAGAGCAAACCAGAUGAGGAGGUUAUCAAAAGGGAAUUAGUGCAGACCAGUUCUGAACUUAUCUUCUGUGGUCUAUUUCUCACUACUCUACACUAUCUCCUCUUCUUACCUGCAGCCCCAUAGUGAUUUUGUUGUUCUCUGUGCUCAUUUUGAAUUAUAGUAUCUUCUGGAUAGAUGCUACUGGCUAAUAGACAAC